ensembl:lncRNA
GCUAUUUUCUUUUUUAUAUUUUUACUGAUUUUAUUCAUUUUAGCAAAAGACUACAACAGUUUUUGCAAUUAAAUAUUAUUUAAUGAAGCAAUUUUCUCUGUGUUUCAGUAAUAAUUAAAAUACAACUUGAAAAUUUAAUAAAUGUUUAUUAUGUUCCAAGAACAGUGGAACCUUGAGUUAUGACCAGUGUCACAUAUGAACAACUUGGGUUACGACCAGAAUUUUAGUUUUAACUUCUGACCAAAGUGAUUGAGUCAAAUGCUGGUCUUUCCUGUAUGGUGUUAAUUGAGAAAUCCUCAAUGUCCAUCUAAGGACACUCAGAUGUGCCUGGAAGAAAGUGUGGCCUAAAAUUAUAUAGGAGAGAGACUUUGAAGGCUGCGUAGAGGGGCCUGAGCCAUCAGCUGACCCUGUGGUUGAUGACAAUGUCACUAUCCAUAGGCUUGCAGGUAGGCAGUAGUGAUGUUGAGGAACUUGUGGAGGGACCCUCAGAAUUGUCUACAGAGGAACCUCAGCAGUUUCUGGCUGAGCAACAGAGAAUGGCAGCUGAAGAGCUUUCUGAAGAGGAAGAGGAAUAUCAACAAUCAGUGAAGCAAAGUUCUUCUGAAAUAAAGGAAAUCCUAAAAAAAUGGACAGAGGUAUGAACAUUUGUAGGGAAUGUUCUGUGCAAUCUUCCCAGUCUUUGUAGAGAAAAAGCCAGUCAUUGCAUUUACUUACCUAAUGACAAUGUCAUGUCAUACUACAGAACUGUGUUAAAGAAAAGACAGAAACUGACAGCCUUAGACCAGUUUUCAGUUCUGAAAAGACUGAGACCUAGUGAGCCAGAAGCAGGUCCUAGUGGGCUACAGACUCUCCCAAGGAGAGAAAGGAUACCAGAGAGCCGGAUUCCUGAUGUUCUUUUGGAAGGGGACGCUCCUUCCAUACAAUAACUACCUUCCAUUUCAUCCUCCCUUCCUGCAAGCCAAAGAUGUAAAGUUGAAUGUUGCACCGGGGCAGUUGGAGCAACCUGAAAUAUCAGUUUCCAAAGCAAAGAGAUCAGACUGCUUGCUUUUCUUGUAAGGUGUCCAUCACAAACUUUAACAAUGUGUCUAUCCAUUGGUACUGGCUAAAGCCAAAUCAAGGUCUCAAGAAUCUCUAUAUCUCAGCAUUUCCUAAUCAAAGUGGGAAUGAAUUUGAGGUCCUAGCUCCAUGUUCAGGCCCUGCUUCCCUCCCUGCAGCAGACUCAGACACAAGUGGAGACAUUGUCAUCUCACAGCUUGUAUCAAACAUCAAGAAAAAGGAAAUAUGACAUUUCUAGAAUGCUGGUACCAACAGAGGUCAGAGCAGCCUCUAACACAGGCUCUGUACUUUUCUUCAAAUGAAGAUUCUGUGCAUGAGCAAGGGGUUGGUGAGGAGAGAUACGAAGCCAGGAAACUGUUCAGGGACUUUUCCUCCAGCUUCAGGAUACAUUGUGUAGCCAGGAGGAUGCUGGGACCUACUAUGUACCUACUGGGAUGCACUGUAUCAACAGGCUGUGCUCUCCCCAAACAGAAACCCUUCCAAGUGGGUGUCCCCUGUGCAAACAACCCACCUCCUCCUGGCCACCUUGCAGAGGGACCUGACUGAGCCCACAGGGUGCUUUUCUCCUGAAAAAAUGUCAUAAGCAAAGUCACAGCUGAACCCUAAGGGUCCAGUCUGUGAGGCUUCCUUCAGUAGGAGUGUUGUCCUCUCUCCAACCCUAUCCUGGGCUGUCUUUUGUAAAUUCCCCCAGUGAUCUCUGCCUCUCAGCUACAGGAAGCCUCCUGGGAAGGAAGCCAUGAUGCACUGCUUAAGAUGGU